GUGAAUCAUCAAAUCUUUGAACGCAAAUUGCGCCUUUUUCGGAAGGCAUGUCCGUUUGAGGGCACCAUUUAACAAAUAAUGCGCAGCGUUUUUUGUUGCACACGUUGAUGAGCUUUCCAAGAAUCUUAAAUUUUUGGUGGCGCAUAAUGAACAGCGUGAAAGUUUUUUUCAGUUCGCGUGUAGUAAAAUUUUUCUUGCUUGGGUUGUGAAACGCGAGAUCGCGCAAUGGGUGUGGCAAUUUUAGUUAAUCCCUGCUCCAAUGACACUCUUUCUUGC
rnacentral:misc_RNA from 1 species